rnacentral:piRNA from 1 species
UCGUUUACUUGGCAAAUUCGAAGGACGA